rnacentral:rRNA from 1 species
GCCAGCAGCCGCGGUAAUACGGGGGGAGCAAGCGUUGUUCGGAUUUACUGGGCGUAAAGGGCGCGUAGGCGGCGCGACAAGUCACUUGUGAAAUCUCUGGGCUCAACCCAGAACGGUCAAGUGAUACUGUCGUGCUAGAGUGCGGAAGGGGCAACUGGAAUUCUUGGUGUAGCGGUGAAAUGCGUAGAUAUCAAGAGGAACACCUGCGGCGAAGGCGGGUUGCUGGGCCGACACUGACGCUGAGGCGCGAAAGCUAGGGGAGCGAACGGGAUUAGAUACCCCGGUAGUCCUAGCCUUAAACGAUGAAUGCUUGGUGUCCGGAGUUAGAUAGUCUCCGGGUGCCGUCGCUAACGCUUUAAGCAUUCCGCCUGGGGAGUACGGUCGCAAGACUGAAACUCAAAGGAAUUGACGGGGGCCCGCAC